rnacentral:rRNA from 1 species
UACGAAGGGGGCUAGCGUUGUUCGGAUUUACUGGGCGUAAAGCGCACGUAGGCGGAUCGUUAAGUCGGGGGUGAAAUCCCGGGGCUCAACCCCGGAACUGCCUUCGAUACUGGCGAUCUCGAGUCCGGAAGAGGUGAGUGGAACUCCUAGUGUAGAGGUGGAAUUCGUAGAUAUUCGCAAGAACACCAGUGGCGAAGGCGGCUCACUGGCCCGGUACUGACGCUGAGGUGCGAAAGCGUGGGGAGCAAACAGG